UUUUGUGGUUUCUAGUAGAAAUCGUAAUUAUAUAUAUACUAAUUGAGAAGCACCACAUGAACAGUUCUCUAUUCUUAUUGGUUGAUUUUUUUUUAGUUUUUUCUAUUUUUUUGAUAAUUUGUCUCCAAUUUUUUUUUAUUUUUUUUAAGUGAAAAGCUGCUGGCUGGGGUUUAAGAGAUUGGGGUUACGUGUGUUACCUUCUAUUUUCCACCUUUGAAACACGUGUCUAUGUUAUGUUUUCCACUACUUAGAUACUUAAUUGAGAAGCACCACAUGAACAGUUCUCUAUUCUUAUUGGUUGAUUUUUUUUUAGUUUUUUCUAUUUUUUUGAUAAUUUGUCUCCAAUUUUUUUUUAUUUUUUUUAAGUGAAAAGCUGCUGGCUGGGGUUUAAGAGAUUGGGGUUACGUGUGUUACCUUCUAUUUUCCACCUUUGGAACACGUGUCUAUGUUAUGUUUUCCACUGCUUAGAUACGUGUCCUUAAGAAGGAUGCUCCGUUUUCAUCGAAAAUCUAUUUUUUUAUUUGCUCUGCAAGCCGGCUCCUCUUCCUUACGACGAACCAUCGUCUCCCAACUUAUCGACUCCCGAUCUCAUUCCUCCUCUCGGUGAAGAACGCUUCCGAAAUAAGGUUUGCCUUAGGGGAAUGGGCUUGACGUUGCUGUUCAUCGUAAUCGUCUGCAUGGAAUAGACAAUUCCAAAUCAAAGGUUCGUUUGCCCCAGUUGGAAACCGGAAUUACUAAACAUUAGGGUAUAAAUAUUAUUUCUGCAAUCAAACAUAGAGCAUGGAUCGAAGGAACCCACCCUAAUGCUUUUCAUUCCUAUCAAAUUCUAUAUGCUAGAAACCAUCUUCACGAGCUACCUGUUGCUUUUGUUACAUUUAGGUCACGUUGGGAUACUGCCCUUCAUUUGUGGAAAGUGAGAUCGUUCCUUCUGCAAUUUGCAUAAUAGGAAUGGCUGUGUCGCUUCCUUCUUCAAGGGCAAACCCUAUUAUAGGAUGAUUUCCACUGGAAACAUCAAAUACUUGGCAGAAAGUAAUUGAAAGUGAAGACUGUAAAGAUAUAUGAAGAAAUACAACAAUGUUGAGGGAUCAAGGAUGAAAACGAGAGAGUAUCAGAGCAUGAUACAGAGAUAUUGGUAGCACCCAUGGAUUUUGCUAAAAAGGCAGAAAUUUACUCAUGAUAUACUUCCACCUGACCCUGAAUGUUCAGAUGAAACGUUGUUAUAACAAUCAGAGGUUAACACUAAAAAGGCAGAAAUUUAGUUCGAUGCCCAAGAUGCUAGAAAGUUCUUCUGGAUCCACCAGAAGGUUCAGGUUGAUCAGAGGGCAGUGAUGUAUACUCAAAAUGUUGCUGGAAGACAUUUGUUGUUGUAGGGUACAUCAUACAAUCCUUUGGUCAAGACCCAUGUACAAAAAACCUCAUGGGUACUCCUAAUUGUUUUGUCGAACUCAGUAGACCUUUGCUGGUAUUCCUUUGAUUAUAGUUGGUAAAGAAGACAUUAGAUCAUAGUUGAAUUUAUCACAUUAUGAUCACUUUGUGAACAACAUUUACUUUUACUAUCUGUUUACGGUUUAGUAAAUAUAUAAGAUACAUCCAUAUUUUGGCA